AUCCCGAAAGAACGAUUGACUCAGCUGUAAAUGGCAGUGAUUUAGCGGUCAGCUGCAAGAACCUUCUCGUAUUCUGCAUACGCCUUUCCUCAUAAAACUAUCUUUAUUUAUCUUUGCAAAACGAAAUUGACUUUAACGAGUAAAACGUUCUAACACGGUUAAUCCCUGUUGAAUAUCUCGUGAAACUAAUCGCUAUGUGACAAAAGAAACGCGAUAACAACGUGAAACAAUUCCCGUUUCGUUUUCUUCAUGCGUCGCUUGAAACGUAACAGAAUUUUGUAGAAUUACGGCACAGUUAAAUGUCACGAUGGAAGAGACACGUUUAUAGUCAUUGUGUUGUACCUGAACUGUUAGAAGAAGGAGGACAGAGUCUAUGAACGGUCACCGCUAUAAACUCACAUGCUUACAUCACUGGAAACGUCGCCGCAGAAGCUUCGUUCAUGUGCCUUUCAGACAUAGGACAUGCUUCGACAGCUUCUGAUCGAGUAUAGAUUUGAGUAUGGAAAACAAGGAGAAUUGAAAAGCAACAUGAGAUUUGAUUGCCUGUACCUGAAUAUUGAAUAAUUCGGUUAACGGCCUAUAGUAUGGUAGAUUGGAUUACACGCACCCUUUGUGAUUAUCAACGGCACAUAAGAAUAGCUUGCAAAGUACGAACCUCCCCGUGUGUGUUUAUGUUACAAGCUUGCUAGACAGAUUACGUAAAAAUGCUCAAUCGACGGGAAAAUCCUAUCAUGGAGAAAAAGAUUGAACAUAGACGGGGUUAUCACCGGAGACUUUCAUCCCGUAUCCGGCCUCGUCCUUGUAGACGACGAG